CACAGAUGAAGUCUCGCUGGAAGCAAAAGGAGUUCAUGGCGAAGUCAUGGGAGGAUUAUGUUUCUAGGACUUCAAACUAUGAAGCCCUGAAGGAAGUAAAAGCACAGAGGGAGAAGAACGCCGAAUCAUCCAGACCUAAACCAAAGCACGAGGAUGCUGCUAUCCGCCCUGCUGAGCAUUUCAUCGGACACGUCGUUGGAGUGGAGAGCACGGACGCUCAGGGUCCGGCAGGAGUGAAGGUG